UCAUCUCACUCUCCACGGUGCGUCGCCAA
rnacentral:sRNA from 1 species